UAGGGAAUAUUCGGCAAUGGACGAAAGUCUGACCGAGCAACGCCGCGCGUGUGAAGAAGGUUUUCGGAUCGUAAAACUCUGUUGUUAGAGAAGAACAAGGACGUUAGUAACUGAACGUCCCCUGACGGUAUCUAAUCAGAAAGCCACGGCUAACUACGUGCCAGCACACGCGGUAAUACGUAGGUGGCAAGCGUUGUCCGGAGUUAGUGGGCGUAAAGCGAGCGCAGGCGGUUUCUUAAGUCGGAUGUGAAAGCCCCCGGCUCAACAGGGGAGGGUCAUUGGAAACUGGGAGACUUGAGUGCAGAAGAGGAGAGUGGAAAUCCAUGUGGGGGGGUGAAAUGCGUAGAUAUAUGGAGGAACACCAGUGGCGAAGGCGGCUCUCUGGUCUGUAACUGACGCUGAGGCUCGAAAGCGUGGGGAGCAAACAGG
rnacentral:rRNA from 1 species